AUUGAACGCUGGCGGCAGGCCUAACACAUGCAAGUCGAGCGGCAGCGGGAAGUAGUUUACUACUUUGCCGGCGAGCGGCGGACGGGUGAGUAAUGUCUGGGGAUCUGCCUGAUGGAGGGGGAUAACUACUGGAAACGGUAGCUAAUACCGCAUGACCUCGCAAGAGCAAAGUGGGGGACCUUAGGGCCUCACGCCAUCGGAUGAACCCAGAUGGGAUUAGCUAGUAGGUGGGGUAAUGGCUCACCUAGGCGACGAUCCCUAGCUGGUCUGAGAGGAUGACCAGCCACACUGGAACUGAGACACGGUCCAGACUCCUACGG
rnacentral:rRNA from 1 species